GAUGAAGAACGCAGCGAAAUGCGAUAAGUAAUGUGAAUUGCAGAAUUCAGUGAAUCAUCGAAUCUUUGAACGCACAUUGCGCCCUCUGGUAUUCCGGGGGGCAUGCCUGUUCGAGCGUCAUUAUAACCACUCAAGCUCUCGCUUGGUAUUGGAGUUCGCGAUCUCGCGGCUCCUAAAAUCAGUGGCGGUGCCUGUCGGCUCUACGCGUAGUAAUACUCCUCGCGAUUGAGUCCGGUAGGUUUACUUGCCAGCAACCCCCAAUUUUUACAGGUUAACCUCGGAUCAGGUAGGGAUACCCGCUGAACUUAAGCAUAUCAAUAAGCGGAGGA
rnacentral:misc_RNA from 1 species